ACGUAGGGUGCAAGCGUUGUCCGGAAUUAUUGGGCGUAAAGAGCUCGUAGGCGGUCUGUCGCGUCGGUUGUGAAAGCCCGGGGCUUAACCCCGGGUCUGCAGUCGAUACGGGCAGGCUAGAGUUCGGUAGGGGAGGUCGGAAUUCCUGGUGUAGCGGUGAAAUGCGCAGAUAUCAGGAGGAACACCGGUGGCGAAGGCGGAUCUCUGGGCCGAUACUGACGCUGAGGAGCGAAAGCGUGGGGAGCGAGCAGGA
rnacentral:rRNA from 1 species